CAGAUUUCACCCACCUGGAUCACUGAUGUUUGGCCCUUGCCCUGCUUCCUCCCUCGUCCGCUAAUGAGCUGAGACUGUCCCCAAGCAGAUUGCAAGCAUCUUGGCAUCAAGACAUCUGCUCUCUUAGAGCGCAGCAGCGCUCAGCAGAGCUCAUGCUCAAAGACAUGACUUCCUUUAUACUCUGUAUGUUAGUUCUUCUAAAAAUCAUCAGAAACUAAAUAAUUCUUUAAUGGCUGUUCUUACCAAGAAUCCUCAUUUCAGCCAGAUUUAAAACAUCACUCUAAACUUAUAUUGCAUAUGGAAUAUGCUGCUUUGCUGACAAACCCCUCUUUCUUGUAGUUUCUCCAAUAAGUGCAGACGUUUUCAGGCUUGGUGAGAAAUCAGUGCAAGGAGGGGCUCUGGGAAGUUUAGAAGUCACAUAGGUGUGUGCCUCUGUUCCCGCCAGCUCUCAUACCCACUGCUGUAGUGGGUAUUGGUUAUCACAUCUGCUGAGUCCAGCUUUGCUCAUACUUCUAUUCUGCAAGAGAGCAUUCAGCAAAACAGUUGGCUUCUUUCAGCCCCCUGCCAGUGCCUUGGCAACACCGGAGUUUUCCAAAGUGCUCUGAGAUGCAGACUCUGAGUAACUUAUUUUCUCUGUAGCAAGGCUGGAGGAAAAGCUGCAUUUGGAAGAGGUUACAGCAGAAAGCUAAGAAACAAGAGCUCUGGGGUGACAGACAGCAGUCUCUCCUAGGAAAAAAAGAGGUGAAAUUUUGGUUGCUGAGGGCUACUGGCUUCCCCAUGCAAGGUCUAAGCUAGGACAAAUUCUGGACGCGCCAGGGGAAGGAGACCUGGGAAUAUGGAGGGGAAAUUCACUGCUCAGUACUUGGUAAAGGAGAGAUGUCUUGCAGCUUAAUUUCCAGGGGUCAUUAAUCACCAUAGCUCAGCUGGUCUGCUCACAAGUUGUGCUGGUCUGGCUGCAGCACAGCAAUGUAGUGGUAUGACACAAACCAAUACGGAGGAGUUAUGAAAAGCAGUCUCUCUGCUGGUUUAUAGAUGAUCUGAGUGACAGUGAAUGAAAUGCUGUGGAGCUUCAAGUCAACAUAUUUCUUCAAGCUAGAAAUGGAUUGACUAAAUUAAGUAAAAUAAGACUCUAUCAAACUUUUAGCCAGAGCUCAGAUUACGUAAAUUCUGAGUAAUUUGCUUUUCCUGACAGUUUUCAAGUUCGCAUUUACAGCUUCUUCUGGGAGUGCUUACAGAACUGCUAAGUAUCACUUCGGCAACAGGCUUGUUGGGUAUUUAGCCUUUCCUAAUCAGCGCCUGCACUAAGGUAGAGGAGAGGCAAUACUGAUUUCUCAGUCCAAAUCGUCUUCCUGGAAGACGCUUCUUGGGUGUAGACCAUGAGCAUGAGGGCAUUUUCUUUUGUCCUGAGUUUCUGUGUUCACUGAAAAC